AUUGAACGCUGGCGGCAUGCCUUACACAUGCAAGUCGAACGGCAGCACGGGGGCAACCCUGGUGGCGAGUGGCGAACGGGUGAGUAACAUAUCGGAACAUACCCUAGAGUGGGGGAUAACGUAGCGAAAGUUACGCUAAUACCGCAUACGAUCUAAGGAUGAAAGUGGGGGAUCUUCGGACCUCAUGCUCAUGGAGUGGCCGAUAUCUGAUUAGCUAGUUGGUGAGGUAAAGGCUCACCAAGGCGACGAUCAGUAGCUGGUUUGAGAGAACGACCAGCCACACUGGAACUGAGACACGGUCCAGACUCCUACGGGAGGCAGCAGUGGGGAAUUUUGGGACAAUGGGGGCAACCCUGAUCCAGCAAUGCCGCGUGAGUGAAGAAGGCCUU
rnacentral:rRNA from 1 species